rnacentral:lncRNA from 1 species
AGGAUCAUGUUAAUUAUUUGUGACUCACUCAUUGCACUGUGGAACCCACAUAUUGAUGUUAAUAUUCUUCAAAUGGAGACGUCAAUUUUUGUGGAGGAAAGAAGUCUAGAGGAACUGCUGAGGCUUUUCUUACUGAUAGCAUACUUGGAAGAGCUUGUAAAUGAGCAGGGUCAUAAGAAACAGCAAGGGAAGAAAAGAAUGUAAAAAAGUCUGGAGAAGUUUUGUUUGGAAUCAAUUGCAGAUGAAAAUUUCAGGGUAAUCAGUGAUGGAGAUGCAUAAGAAAACUCAGUGGGUAAGUUAAAAUGUUUUUUGUCACUUCCAUUAAUUUAAACAUCUGACGUAUAGAAGGCUGAGCUACUUGAAAGUCACUUGUAUUAACAUUCCAAAGACAAUUGAACAUAUUUGAGAAUGUUAGCUCCACAUCUUAAAAUGUCAGCGAUGCUUGAGCCUCUGGGAAGUCUCAAGUUUGAAUGAAAG